rnacentral:rRNA from 1 species
UACAGAGGGGGCAAGCGUUAUUCGGAAUUAUUGGGCGUAAAGGGCGCGUAGGCGGCUACACAAGUGGCGGGUGAAAUCCCUCGGCUUAACCGAGGAACUGCCUGCCAGACUGUGUGGCUUGAGACCGGGAGAGGUGAGUGGAAUUCCCAGUGUAGCGGUGAAAUGCGUAGAUAUUGGGAGGAACACCAGUGGCGAAGGCGGCUCACUGGACCGGAACUGACGCUGAGGCGCGAAAGCGUGGGGAGCAAACAGG